rnacentral:sRNA from 1 species
AAAAACAAUAAUUAAAAGUUAGUGACAGCCAUUGUAAAUAAGUGCCAACUACAGAAUUUAUUUCACAAAAUGCCUACAAAAAUGUAUAUGUAGAUUUUAUACA